UCAAAAGGACCUUCUUUGAAUGUUGGAUUCAGUUUACCAUCAGAUUCGAAUUUGCUGAACAUAAGCUGUAAUGAUGUGAUUUGACUGGGGUCAAAAGGUGAUGCAUCUAGUACGGUUCGUGCACGGAAUAUAGGCCUCAAAGAAGAAAAGGGCAAACGGACCGAUUGCCAACCCUCGACGGUAUCGAAGAUUGCUGUAUAACCCACAGUAUCCCAAUCACUGCUAGUGCGAACAAUAAGCUUAUAACGACGGCCAUCACCUUUAAGGCGCAACUCUAAGCCAUCAUAAGCAGAAAGGUCUUCGGGUUCAGAAAAGUUCUUUGUCCUAAUACUGGCAAACCCCCCAUUAUUAGCCGUGGUAACAACACCUUUGAAAAGUCCUGUUGGUCCACCAUUCUCCCCACCAGUUAGAUCUAUCUGGAAUGUACUUUGACUCACUCCACCCAUCACAACAUCAUCCAAAGCACCCCAAGGAAGUUCUUUAAAUGAAUUACCUUCAUAUCCAAAUAGUAGUUUUCCUGUGCGAAUGCCAAGAUUUUUUUUAACAGCAUUUAUUAAAUUCUUCAUUCCAACGUACUCCACCAUUUCAGGUGAAUCACCUUUAAUAAUAUGACUCCAAGGAUAGGCAAUCAGUUGGCCACCUCGGGUUCAAAGAACUUGAUUCCCUGACUGUAUUUUUCCCUGUCAGGGGUAUCCCCUUCCUUCGGGCCAACAAUGACAGAAACAGCAUUAAUUACGCUUGUUAUCCCUUUGAAGUACUCAGGAAGCAGAGUGCUUGCUUUGGUAACAUCUCCAACAACCAGG
rnacentral:misc_RNA from 1 species